ACUCUUCUUCUCCUGCCUCUCAGAACCCUAGUGCCCUACAUCUGCCUGUGGUCACCUUCCUUUGCCCACUGUCUUGGCCACACUUUCCCAACUGUGGCCCCUGGUGGCCUCUCUCAGACAGGAUUCUGUAUUUGCCUUGAGAGCAGGCACACAUGGCUGUGUCACUGGACCCUCCCACUGUCCACCCUGCCCCGCCCGACGUCUGUGAGCUGGCAAGACCUGCAGCAAGCCCUGUGCCAGGGAAGGGGCUGGACAGCCUUAAAACAGCUCACAAACCAGCACAGUAAGUCUAAGAACUGAACACCGUCUGAGAUCACGGAAACACGCACACAACAAUCAGAGGAGCAGAACCAAUACCUCCCAUGCGAAGGAGUUAUUUCUUCAGGAUAAUGGUGCUGUCUCUGUUUUUGAGUGCGAUAUCAAAAUGGUGGAGUAGUAUGAUUUGCUUCCUCUCAAGUCUCUUUUAUUUCAAGACAGAGGGCACCACCUUCUAUAGGACAGCUACAUCCCAAAGCCAGAAGCAAAAAAAAAAGACAUGGGUGUCACCUUGUCAUCAUGGACUCCAGCUCACACUUGAGUCCGUGGUCUACAGUUGAUUUAUCUGUGAUGUCUUCAUCUAAGCUUUGGUAUUCAGGUAACACUGGACUCAAAGAAGGUGCUGAAAGGAUUGCCCCUCCUACUAUAUUUUAUGGAACAGUUUAUGAAGGAUGGAUAUUAUUUAAAUCCUCUUUAAAUAUUUGGUAGAACUCACCAGUGAAGUCAUAAGAGCCUGGACUUUUCUUUGUGGGUAGAAUUUUAAUUACUAAUUUAUUUGUUAUUGAGCUAGCCAAAUGAUUUUGUGUCAGUAUCAAUUAUUUGUGUCAUUCUAAGAAUUCACCUAUUUCAUCAAAAUUGUCUGAUAUGACGGCAUAAACUUAUUCAUAGUAUUCCCUUAUAAUCUUUUUAAUUUCUGUAAGGUCAUUAGUGAUGUUUCCUUUUCCAUUCAUGAUUUGGUAAUUUAUAUCUCUUUUCUUUUUCAUCAGUCUAACUAAGGAUUUGUCAAUUUUACUGAUCUCUUCAAAGAAUCAACUUUGGUUUCACUGAUUUCCUCUAUUGUUUUGAUUUCUAUUUCACUGACUUCCACCCUAAUCUUAUUAUUUCCUGGCUCCUGCUUGCUUUGGGUUUACUUUGCUCUUCUUUUUCUUGUUUCUUAUUUUAGAGGUCUAAGUUAUUGAUUGGAAGCUUUCUUCUUUUUUAAUAAAAGGGUUUAAACUUAUAAGUCACAUUAAUAUAUGUUAUAAACCCAACAAUAAUAUAAUUAUUUUUUAUAGAAUCUUAAAGAAGUUCAGAAAAGAAAAAACGUACCUAUAUCUAUCUACAAAUCUUUCAUGUUUAGUUCUCUGGUGUUCUUCAUUUCUUUGUACGGAUUCAAGUUACCAUCUGUGUCAUUUCCUUUUAGCAUAAGGGACAUCCUUUAGUUUUCUAGUAAGGCAGGUCUACUUAGCAACAAAUUCUCCAAGUCUUCAUUUGCCUGGGGAGGUCUUCAUUUUGCCUUCACAGUCAAAGGAUAGUUUUGCUGGAAAGAGAAUUAACUGCUAGUUUUUCUCUCUCAGCACUUUGCAUAACACUGUCUUCUAGCCACCAGGGUUUCUGAUGUGAUGAAUUGUUCUUCUCUUAUUGCUUUGAAAAUUUUCUCUUUGUCUUUCAACACUUGGACUAUGAUGUGUCUGUGUGUAAAUUUCUUUGUGUUUAUACUGCUUUGGGCUCAUUGAGUAUCUUGGUCAGUAGAUUAAUGAUCUUUAUCAAAGUUAGGAAGUGUUCAGCCAUUAUUUCUUCAAAUGUUUUCUCUGCUCCCUUUUUCUCUCUCUUGUUCUUCUGGGGCCCCUAUUACAUGUGUAUGUUUGAAUUCACACAGGUCUCUGACACUUUAUUUUACAUCAUUCUUUUUAUAUUCUGUUCUUCAGAUUGAAUAAUUUCUAUCUAUUUUCAGGUCCACUAAUUACUUCUUUUGACAUCUCAAAUAUUGUCAUGAGUCCCUUUGGUGACUUUUUCAUUUUUCAGUUAUUUUACUUUUGAACUCCAGAAUUUCCAUUUGGUUCUUUUUUAUAGUUUCUCCCCUUGUGGCGUUUCUCUAGUUGAUGGGUCAUUGUCAUUAUACUUUCCUUUAGUUGUUAAAACAUGAUUUCCUUUAGUUUUUCUAAUAGCUGAAGUCUUUGCUAAUUUCAAGAUCUGGGGCCACUCACAGGCAGUUUCCCCCCUAAGUAUGGAUCACUUCCUGUUUCUUUGCAAGUCUCAAUUUUUUGCUGAAAUUAGAUAUUUUGGCUAUGUAUUACAGCUGCUCUGGAUUCUGAUUCUUCCUGAAUCUUGGGGGGGGGGGGGGUUGGGAGGGACAGAGAAUUAUUGUUACUAUUAUUUGGUUUGUGUAGCAAUUUGCCCAGGCUAAAUCUGUAGAAUCAGUUUCCUCCAAGGUAUUUGGCUGUUGAUGUCUCUCCUUAGGUUUUUUUUAUUCUUGUUUUUAGGGAUCACCCCUGUGUCCACACAGCUUAGUAGUCAGGCAAUAAUUGGUUAGAGAUUGGUCUUUUGGUAGCACAUUCAAUAUUAAGCAGCAUUUAAAUCUAUCCAGCCUUUUAUUUUCUGGUGUGCCCUUUUGUGUUUCCUCUAUAUGUGCACACAGGUUCAUGGUCAGCUAAGGAUGAGAAGACAGCUUAGGCCCUCUCUGGUUUCUCCUGAGCAGAUUUGUGAAGAUCUUAUAA